rnacentral:lncRNA from 1 species
CUGAAAAUUUUACAAGGUUUUCACUUAGUUUUGCUAAAAUGUCCAUCUCUUCAUCUUGUUUCAAUUGUGAGUCAAUUGUGUGGCAUGGGUACAAUUAUGCUCUCUUCAUAUGCAGAAUUAAUGUCAUUUUUUUUACUAUAGAUAUUUUCCAUUUUUCACCUGAGACCACAGGCCAAUUUCAAAAAGAAUAUUUACUUCUAAUUAUGUAGCUUCUAUUACAUAGCUAGUAUUGUCUUUGUUUACUUCAUGUAUAUGCCAAAAAGACCUCAUGACUUAUGAAACGUUCAACUGUUUACUUAAAUUGGCCCAAUAAAUUUAAUAAACUCAAUUAUGUCAAUUUUAUAAAGUAAAAUGAACAGUAACUAAACAAAAACUGGAUUCAAUAGCAUUCUCUAAUUGAAACAAAAUAUAAAAUACACUAAAUAACAUACAAUACACGCACUGUGAAAUUACUCACGUGAAAAUUAUUUUGUGAACACCAUUAAAUUUUAUCAAAGUCACUUUCAUAAUCUCUGAGGUGAUUAUACAAAGAAUGUUUUAUGAAAAGAAAAUUAUGUCUAUGGUGAGCAACAGGCAAACAGACAAACAACAAAAAAAGAAUUUGCACAAGAUGAUUCUAAGCCAGGAGCAAUAACAUUUUAGAUAAAUGAAUUUAAUACACAGCAGAGAAAAUAGAUUUGCUUUCAAAAUCUCUGAAGUUUCUGGUUUGCUGGUAAGUGAUCAACACUUGUAAAAUUAUCUGUUCAUUCUAAUAUUUUUCUUUUCUUCUCAAAGUAGGUACACAACCAUAAACAAAUAUGAUUACUUUCUCUAUAAAUCUGUUACACCUGAAGUUUAUUUUACAGUGAUAUAUCUAUAUAUUUAAAUCCAUGUAAACCAAAACUAAAGGUCUGUAUGUGUUUAGCAGACCAGAGAAGUCAUAUGUUCAACAGAAAAAAGUAGGAUAAAAUUUUAUAAAUAGUUGUUCAGAAUUCAGAAACAUAUAGCUCCAAUUAUACUCAUAAUCUUCAUUACAACCAUCAUAAUAAUCUGUAGUUACAAGUAAACAAAAAUGUAAGUUGUAGAAACCAUAUUCUCUAAAUUAUUUUAAGUUAAAGACCACUGACAAAGGGAUCACUAGAGAUGUUAGUCCACUGUCACCCAAUAGUAUAUUGUUACCUACAACCUUGGGUAAGAUGGGAUAAGUUAACAUCAGUGGCAAGAUACACAUUCAAUGUAAAAUAGCCUUAACACAAUAACAAUAAUUUUGGUUUAUUAAAACAAAUUAAGUUCACACAUUGUCAUUAAAAAGGCAUUUUGAAAUUCACUGUAUUUUAAUUACCUUAAUUUGCAAAUGGUAAGGCAAUUUCCUUCUAAAAUUCAAAUUGUUUCUCUUACUAAGCAGAUUAUUAUCCUGAUCACUUACCACACUCCUAUCAUCCUGUCACUUACGAUACUGCUGUAAACUAAUAAGUGGCCUUUCCACUUAGAAUUUCUUCGUGUGUCUUAGGUUUCAGUUUACUUAAUCCUCCAUGGAAAAGUAUAUAAAUCUGUCCAUCUAAUAUAGAAGAACCUCUCACAACUCUGGUGCAACCACUGACCAUGUUCUUUCACAUAAAUUCUAGAAAUGAAGACACAGCAUCAAAUGUAAGAGUUAAAUUAUAUUGAAAUUUGCUUUUGAAAAAUAUUGAAUCCUUUUAAUAUAAAAAAGUAGGUUCCCUUUAGAGAAAAGUGAUCGAGAUUGCUGACUAGAAGCAGCUAGACUGUGCAGUUCUCAUAGACAGGAAUGCAAGGUAUACAUAAAUACAGCACCUGCAACUGAAACAUCCAGGUACUUGCAUUGGGAAUAAUCAAAGAAACAAUCUAUGGAGAAUGGAGUAAAGCAAGGCAGGACAAUGGGCCACCUGGGAACAACAUGGAGUCUCAGCAGAUAAGCCACUUAGGCCUGCGCAGAUUCAAGAGCCUUAGAUACUGGCUUUCCAGGCUUCCCAGAAAAAGUAGCUGCAACUCGAGCAAAGCAGGUUACACCCCUGAACAUACCCAUAGGAAAGAGGCAGAAUCCAGGGGGCUGAUAGUGAUGGUCUGUAGGACCCACUUCAACAAUGCCUCACGUGGUAAGACCUACUGGCUUAGAUUCCAGCCAACCAUUGGUAGCAGCACUGCACCUCCCUGGGAUGGAGCUACCAGAAAGAGGAGUGGGCCACCAUCUUUACUGCCUGUUAAAGCAGGUCCCCCGUUUCAUUCCUUCUCACUGGAAAGUACUUCCCAAUGAGGGUCUCCAGCUACCACCACCAGCGCUCUUUGGUUGAUGGAGUUUUGAAACCUCUUUGGGAUACAGUUCCUAGAGGGAGGAGUGAGCUGCCAUUUUUGCUGUUUGUGUGAGUUAGCUGUUCCAGCCUUCUGGCUUUGGAGAAUCCAAAUAAACUGGGGGUGGAAGUGGUACCUCUGAAUAGCAGAGCUGUCCUGCAAAAAUAUGGCUAGACUGCUUUCUUAAGUGGGUCCCCAAUCAUGUUUUCCUCACUGGGUAGGACCUUCAACAGGGGCUUCCAGCUACCUCCUACAGGUGCUUUUGGGCUGGCAACAGGUCUAUACCUCCCUGGGAUGGCGCUCCCAGAGAAAAGGGCAUGCUGCCAUUGUUGCUGUUUUGCAGCAUUCAGUGGUGAUAACUUCCAGUACUGGAAAAUCUGAGGUGACUAGAAACUGUAGUGGACACCCAGCAUACUGCAGCAGCCCUUCAGAAGUGGUCGGACUGUUACGUGAGUGCCUGUUCUCAUAUAUUCUCACGAGGCAGGUUCUCCAGGCCCGGGCCACUAGCCAAUCAUUGCCAGAGCUAUUGAGCCAGUAGCAGCUUAGCAACUCCCUGGACAGAGCCUCCAGGGGCCUCUGCAGUACAACUGUCCUUGCUACCCUCAGACUAAUAAAAAAUCCCAAACCCUAAGUGCCUUAUUCACACCUCAAACUGCAGUUUACCCAAGGAGAGGAAGCCAGCCCAUCCUCCAUGGGUCCCACAAACUACCCACUGCUCCUCAGCAGACAGUAAACCCCUAACUUGGCCAAAAGUAAAGAUCUUCCAUCCUGGGCUGGCUGCACUGAGUAAUUGCUGACCUACAUCUCUCUGAGAUGCAGCCCCCAGAAGACAAGCAAAGAGAUAAUGCAGCAAGCCAGCUCAUGUGGUGGCCAGAGGGUUUGGUGCAAGAGCAUCUGUAGUAAAGUGUGGCCAGUGAUGGCCAUUUCUCUAGGCUCAACUGUCUCCCAUAAGAGACUUUAGCCCUACGGGAACUGUUGGGCCUAAUUUCUGCAGGAUGGUCUUGCAAAUCAGAAGAAGCUGGUCCAACUGAGCACUCCUUGGUCUGCUGGCCUCUCCCAGGGACCCAGUCUGGCCACAGCUGCUUACAGGGCAGUCUCAGGUACCCUGGAAGCUCAUACCAGAGCAUCUGCACUGGAGGGACAUGCCUGACUCAUGAAGAGCUCCAGCAAAGCAGCCCCUAUGACUGCACCAGCCCACAUUUCUUCCCCAUACUGCAGCUUCCCGUGACACCAUGGCAACUCCUGAUAUUUCUUUGCUGGCACAUGUCUGCAAAGGCAGGUUUGGCUUUGCUUGCCCCACCAGCAAAUGGGAAUGCAAUAUGCCCCGCCACCCCCAGCAACUGCCAUUGUAGAUGAAACUUUGGUGGGCAGAGAGCCAGAAAACUCCACCCCUGCCUUUGUGCUAACACUGUGCAGAGAACAGGGUAACCUCCCACACUCUGAACAAUCACUCUUUCUUGGGGGGCACAGAGAAGGCAUCAAAACCUUUACUGGCCAGUAUCCUGCCCCAAGCCAACACCACCUUUAGUGCAACAGCACACAGCCUCCAGCAGGUAUCCCCCACUCCCUUCCCAGCUGCUUUGCUCCUGCCACUGAGGUGAGUACCCAAAGACAGGCAGAAAUCCCAUAUCCACUAGCACUCUGCUCCAGCUAUGGCACCUUCAUCCCACAAACUCGCAAACUCCAAAUCUCAAGGAGCCAGAGAACACAGUUGGGGCUCAAAACAAGUCCCCCGGAGUUAGAGUAUGCAGCCUCUGAGUUGUGAGCUGAGCAUUGCCCACCCACCACCACCACCAAACAAAACAAAACAAAACAAAACAAAACAAAAAAAACCUCCCAGGAACAAAGCCUGUUGGCUGCAUCCAUCUUAUACCACAAUCAAAUACUCAAGACCAUCAAAUAGGAUUAAAAAAAAAAAAGCCCAAAGGUCAGCAACCUCAAAGAUAUGCCCACAAAGAUAAGACACAAUCAGUGCAAAGAUAAAAACACAAAAAGCCAGAGUGACUUCUUUCAUCCAAAUGACCAAAUUACAUUUCCAGCAAGGCCUAAGAUGACAGAAGUAGAAUUCAGAAUAUGGGUAGAAACAAACUUCACUGAGUUACAAAAGUAAUUUGCAACCCAAUGCAAGGGAGGAAAAAAAAUUGCAGGAACUGACGGAAAAAACAGCCAGUCUGGAGAAAAAAUGUGGCCAACCUGAUAGAACUGAAAAACACAAUACAAAACCUUUAUAAUGUAAUCACAUAUAUUAACAGCAGAAUAGGCCAAGCAGAGGAAAGAAUCUCAGGGCCUCAAGACUGGCUUUCUGAAAUCAGACAGACAAGAACAGUGAAAAAAGAAUAAAGAGGAAUGAACAAAACCUCUAAGAAAUAUGGGAUUAUGUAAAGAAACCAAAUCUAUGAUGCAAGAGAUUGCCUGAAAGUGAUGGGGAGAAUGAAAACAACUUGAAAUACGUAUUUCAGGAUAACAUCCAUGAGAACUUCCCCAACCUAGAGAGGCCAACAUUCAAAUGCAGGAAAUGUGGAGAACCCCAGUAAGAUACCCCAGGAGAAGGUCAUCCUCAAGACACAUAAUCAUGAGAUUCUCCAGGGUCAAAAUGAAAGAAAAAAUAUGUUAAAGGCAGCUAGAGAGAAAGGCCAGGUCACCUCUAAAAAGAAGCUCAUCAGGAAAACAACAAAUCUUUCAGCUGAAAUCCUACAAGUCAAAAGAGAUUAUAGGGGCCAAUAUUCAACAUUCUUAAAAAAAGAAUUCCAACACAGAAUUUCAUAUCUGACCAAGGUAAGCUUCAGAAGUAAAAAAUAUAUAUGAUCCUAUUCAGACAAGCAAAUGCUGAGAAAAUGUUACCACAGGAUCUGUCUUAAAAGAGCUUCUGAAGAAAGCAUUAAAUAAGAAAAAGACUAUUACCAGUCACUACAAAAGCACACUAAAGUAUACAAACUGUGGACACUAUAAAGCAACCACAGAAACAAAUGUGCAAAAUAGCCAGCUAAGAUCCUAAUAACAGAAUCCAAUCCACACAUAUGAAUACUAACCUUAAAUGUAAA